rnacentral:lncRNA from 1 species
CUGCUUUACUGGGGGUAACUUCCUUUUAGUUACGUGUGACUCUCUUUUGUCUCUAGGUGUUUUCCAUUCCUGUGAGCAGAUCCUUCCUUCCUUCCCUGUCCUUGCACCUCACUGUGUCCCCACUGUCUUCGUUUCUGCAUUUUGCAUCUCCCACAGCAUCACCCCAGACCCUGGGUCACCAGAGCCAAAAGACCCUCAAUGGCCUGGUUUCCUGUCCCAGGAUCUGCUGCUUCGUUUAUAUUCACUCCUCUCAGUUAACGAGGAGCUUUGUUGCGCUUUUGGCACAAAUAAUAUCAAAACAACAACUGAGAUGCAAAACAUCAACAACAAAUCCAGGCACCUGGCCAUCCUUUGGAACAGCUGUUUUCACUGUUUCCCUCGUCCUUGCCCAGUUGCAGGUGCCCUUUACCAUUGAUUUAUUUCAUCAUCCCUUAGUCUGUCACUCAGGGAUGGAGUGUCUGCCAGGCACGGGGCUAUUACCCGGCACACAAAGAUGAACCACUCAUUUCCCAGGAGUUCAGGCUGCACAGUUAAUAAUCAACUUCUAAGAACUGCACCUGUGGCAGUUCUUAACUGACAAAAGCAUGUACAAUGCUGUUUCUGUUGUUUUCCUCAAGAAUUUCUAAGAACUUCUCAGUCAAGAAUGCAUAUCAGUGGUGCUUUAUUAUCUUAAUGAAUUUCAAAGUCCUCUUUUCUCUGUUUUACAAGUGGGGAAAUGUGUUUAUGUGUGAGAGGAAAACAAAAUGGUCAGCUUAAUUUGGGCAACGCAUUUGUAAGAUAUCAACGGAAACAGAAGGUGUUUCCACCACACGAUUUGCUAGAUUUAGUUUUUCUCCCCCAUUCUAGACUAUUUUUGGUCCUAAUUCUUCUGCAGAAAUUAUUUCUUCUAUAGAAAUCUCUCUUCUCCCAGGAGAGAGACGUCGAUAAAGGGAGACAGCGUGGCAGCAAAUGCUUUCAGGCCCGGCUCUCCUUUCCACCCACAGGCGGCUGCGAGACCAGUGGCGGAAGGAACGGUGCUUCCUGUCCACUUCUUUUGCACUCCACUGAGUUGGAGGUCAAGGAGAAAAACUUUCACUCAUUUUACCUCCAGCUGAAAUUACAGACAAUAGUCGUGUUUCUUUGAACUAAAUACUUAACUUUUACCAAGCGGGACAAGCAACGCUGUCAUAUCUUUUCCAAUUCUGUGAAGUAGAAACAGUGCCAGCAUUAUGACUAAUCUCAUCGGCAAACCCAGCUAGCUGGUAUCAAAAUGUCAUGGGGUCACUGGAAAAAAAAAUAGGCAUUUUAGCAAUUCUAAUUAAGUCUUGAGUUUAUUUAAACCCUUGGCUUAAUGGAAAGAUUUUUCUCCUUUAUUAACAUUUGUUUUGUUUUUACUUUUAUUACUACAAGACUUUAUGUCGCCCAGGCUUAUUCAUUAUUUCAGCCAACAAAUAUUUACUGAGUAACUACUAUUUGCCAAACAGAGAUCCAGGCUUUGGGGACAUAAUUAUGUAAAAUAAGCAUGAGGUCUGUGCUUUCACAGAACUGAUAUUUUAGUGGGAGAUUAUGAAGAAAAAGUAAAUUAAUACUAAAAUGUUGGAGUAACAGUAGCUACAUACAGAUUUAAAACAGUGCUGCGAUGAAGAGUAACUGGGUGGUCAAGAAAGGCCUUUAGGGAAGAACAUAUUUAUAAAUGGAGAGAAAUAUAAAUGGCAGGAAGGAGCUCCUGUCCUGGCAGCAGGAUCAGCACAUUAAACACGAAGCAAGAGUCCGCAUAAUCAUCAAGGGAAAUGACCAACACCCGCAGGCAGAGCCUUCGGAGUCCACCUAGCAGAGCGGGAC